rnacentral:rRNA from 1 species
UACGGAGGGUGCAAGCGUUAUCCGGAUUCACUGGGUUUAAAGGGUGCGUAGGAGGGCAGGUAAGUCAGUGGUGAAAUCUCCGAGCUUAACUUGGAAACUGCCGUUGAUACUAUCUGCCUUGAAUAUUGUGGAGGUGAGCGGAAUAUGUCAUGUAGCGGUGAAAUGCUUAGAUAUGACAUAGAACACCAAUUGCGAAGGCAGCUCGCUACACAUAUAUUGACUCUGAGGCACGAAAGCGUGGGGAUCAAACAGGG